rnacentral:rRNA from 1 species
UACGAAGGGGGCUAGCGUUGCUCGGGAUCACUGGGCGUAAAGCGCACGUAGGCGGAUCUUUAAGUCAGGGGUGAAAUCCCGGAGCUCAACUCCGGAACUGCCUUUGAUACUGAGGGUCUCGAGUCCGGGAGUGGUGAGUGGAACUGCGAGUGUAGAGGUGAAAUUCGUAGAUAUUCGCAAGAACACCAGUGGCGAAGGCGGCUCACUGGCCCGGUACUGACGCUGAGGUGCGAAAGCGUGGGGAGCAAACAGG